rnacentral:rRNA from 1 species
GGCUUAUGCAAGUCGAGCGAAGCACUUUACUUUGAGAUCUUCGGAAGGAUAAGUUUUGUGACUGAGCGGCGGACGGGUGAGUAACGCGUGGGUAACCUGCCUCAUACAGGGGGAUAACAGUUAGAAAUGACUGCUAAUACCGCAUAAGACCACAGCACCGCAUGGUGCAGGGGUAAAAACUCCGGUGGUAUGAGAUGGACCCGCGUCUGAUUAGCUGGUUGGUGAGGUAACGGCUCACCAAGGCAACGAUCAGUAGCCGACCUGAGAGGGUGACCGGCCACAUUGGGACUGAGACACGGCCCAAACUCCUACGGGAGGCAGCAGUGGGGAAUAUUGCACAAUGGGGGAAACCCUGAUGCAGCGACGCCGCGUGAGCGAAGAAGUAUUUCGGUAUGUAAAGCUCUAUCAGCAGGGAAGAAACUGACGGUACCUGACUAAGAAGCACCGGCUAAAUACGUGCCAGCAGCCGCGGUAAUACGUAUGGUGCAAGCGUUAUCCGGAUCUACUGGGUGUAAAGGGAGCGUAGACGGAUAGGCAAGUCUGGAGUGAAAGCCCGGGGCUCAACCCCGGGACUGCUUUGGAAACUGUUUAUCUAGAGUGCUGGAGAGGUAAGUG